rnacentral:rRNA from 1 species
CUACGGGGGGCACCAGUGAGGAAUAUUGCACAAUGGGGGGAACCCUGAUGCAGCAACGCCGCGUGGAGGAUGACGCAUUUCGGUGUGUAAACUCCUUUUAUAUGUCAAGAAAAUGACGGUAGCACAUGAAUAAGCACCGGCUAACUCCGUGCCAGCAGCCGCGGUAAUACGGAGGGUGCAAGUGUUACUCUGAAUCACUGGGCGUAAAGGACGCGUAGGCGGGUUGGAAAGUCAGGUGUGAAAUCCUACAGCUUAACUGUAGAACUGCACUUGAAACUUCUAAUCUAGAGUAUGGGAGGGGGAGAUGGAAUUAGUUGUGUAGGGGUAAAAUCCGUAGAUAUCACUAGGAAUACCUAAAGCGAAGGCGAUCUCCUGGAACGUUACUGACGCUAAGGCGUGAAAGCGUGGGGAGCAAACAGGAUUAGAUACCCCAGUAGUC